rnacentral:rRNA from 1 species
GACGAACGCUGGCGGCGUGCUUAACACAUGCAAGUCGAACGGACAGACCCUGCUUUUGUGGGGUGCUCGAGUGGGGAACGCGUGAGUAACACGUGAGUAUCCUGCCCUUGUCUUUGGGGUAACUUCUCGAAACUGGGGCUAUUACAGGAUAGGAUCUACUGCUGCAUGGUGGUGGUUGGAAAGUUUCGGCGGUUGGGGCUGGACUAGCGGCUUAUCAGCUUGUUGGUGGGGUAGUGGCUUACCAAGGCUUUGACGGGUAGCCGGCCUGGGAGGGUGACCAGCGACAUGGGGACUGCGAUACGGACCAGUCGCCUACGGGAGGCAGCAGUGGGAAAUAUGGCGCAACGGGCGGAAGUCAGUUGUGACAACGCCGGGAGCGGGAAGACGGCCUUCGGGUUAUAAACCGCUUUCGCAUGUGACGAGGCGGGAGUGACGGUAAUGGGUAAAGAAGCACCGGCUAACUACGUG